AUCUUAUUCCUGGUUACAUGUUAUGUUCCAUUUCCCCAGGUUACUUCACCCCUGAGGGCUCGAUUCAGAAUAGAGAUUGAGAAUCACGGAUCUAGCUGAACCAUCCAACUUUCAAAGAUGAAUAAACUGAGGACCCAGAGGUGAAGUGAUUUUUCCACAGUCCCACCAACAGAUAUGGCCAAACCAGGGAUCCUUUUGCAUUGUGAUUGUGAAGACAGAAGAAGUCAACCUGAAAACAAACCACAGUUUGGAAUCAAGCCAAGGUUAGCAUCAGUUGAGCCACAGAUCC
rnacentral:lncRNA from 1 species